GGGGGCGACCUGGCUUCGACGCGGAUUACAAAGCUCCAGGUGCAUGUCGUAAUGGUAGCCAAUUACGUUAAACCAAAGCUGCAAAACCAUAGUUGCAAAUGAUGACAACUACGAAGGUUACGCGCUAGCCGCAUAAUCUUCAAACUGGGCCUAGGCCCGGCGGUCACUGGCUUGUGCCUGAACGAGCCUACUGACUGUCAAUAAAUCAGGAUAAGCGCAAAGGUUGCCUAGGCCGGAUCGCCGACAAUUUAAUCCCAGGCUCCCCGAGUCGCACCUGUCCUUCGGUAACGGCAAGGGUAAAUUAAAGAAGAGACUAAGCAUGUAGGACCGCGAGUGGCGGAUUUGCGGACGCGGGUUCGAUUCCCGCCGCCUCCACCA
rnacentral:tmRNA from 1 species